rnacentral:rRNA from 1 species
GCAGUCGAGCGGACAGAAGGGAGCUUGCUCCCGGAUGUUAGCGGCGGACGGGUGAGUAACACGUGGGUAACCUGCCUGUAAGACUGGGAUAACUCCGGGAAACCGGAGCUAAUACCGGAUAGUUCCUUGAACCGCAUGGUUCAAGGAUGAAAGACGGUUUCGGCUGUCACUUACAGAUGGACCCGCGGCGCAUUAGCUAGUUGGUGGGGUAAUGGCUCACCAAGGCGACGAUGCGUAGCCGACCUGAGAGGGUGAUCGGCCACACUGGGACUGAGACACGGCCCAGACUCCUACGGGAGGCAGCAGUAGGGAAUCUUCCGCAAUGGACGAAAGUCUGACGGAGCAACGCCGCGUGAGUGAUGAAGGUUUUCGGAUCGUAAAGCUCUGUUGUUAGGGAAGAACAAGUGCGAGAGUAACUGCUCGCACCUUGACGGUACCUAACCAGAAAGCCACGGCUAACUACGUGCCAGCAGCCGCGGUAAUACGUAGGUGGCAAGCGUUGUCCGGAAUUAUUGGGCGUAAAGGGCUCGCAGGCGGUUUCUUAAGUCUGAUGUGAAAGCCCCCGGCUCAACCGGGGAGGGUCAUUGGAAACUGGGAAACUUGAGUGCAGAAGAGGAGAGUGGAAUUCCACGUGUAGCGGUGAAAUGCGUAGAGAUGUGGAGGAACACCAGUGGCGAAGGCGACUCUCUGGUCUGUAACUGACGCUGAGGAGCGAAAGCGUGGGGAGCGAA